GAUAUAGCUCAGUGGUAGAGUGCUUGCCUCACAUAUGCAAGAUUGUAGGUUCAAUCCCAACUAUC
rnacentral:tRNA from 1 species